AGACGUCUACAUUAGAUACCCGCGUAGUCCCAGCCGUAAACUAUGCGCGUUAGGUGUAUCGGUGACCACGAGUUACCGAGGUGCCGAAGGGAAACCGUGAAACGUGCCGCCUGGGAAGUACGGUCGCAAGGCUGAAACUUAAGGAAUUGGCGGGGAGCACCACAACAGGUGGAGCCUGCGGUUUAAUUGGACUCAACGCCGGGAAGCUCACCGGAUAGGACAGCAGAAUGAUUGCCGGGCUGAAGACCCUGCAUGACUAGCUG
rnacentral:rRNA from 1 species